UAGGGGUGGGAUAUGACUUUCACUUACAAUGAAUAAGACCACUUUGGCACCCUUAG
rnacentral:tRNA from 1 species